rnacentral:lncRNA from 1 species
AAUAUAAUUCUGCAGAGUUUCUCUCAGUCCACAAACUGUGGAAAACUUCUUAUUCACUUUGCAACUAUAAAAUACUGUGAAUUACAAGUGUUAUGAAUACUCUGUUCACCUCAUUACAAAAAUAAGGGUUACUCCCUCUAUUUAUAGAUUUAGGUUAACUUGGACCUCAAGUCAAAACUCAAAACUAUAAAAGCCCAAAAUAGCUAACACUACUAAAAUAGGCCUAAGUCGAAAUUCUGUGUGAAGCAACAUGUUUCAACACUUCGACACACUAACACAAUUUUACACACUAGGUGGUUCGACACUUCCUUGUUCCUGUCGAGCAACAUGCUUCGACAUAAAGUAUUACAAUUCAACAUUGUUGACAAACUAUUGAAGGUUCUUGAAAGAAUUUAUGCGUUAUUUCAGUUACUCGUUGGAUCUGUUUUUCUAUUUUGGAUUAUUUUUUGCAAGCAUGUUAGAGUUGUUUCAAAUUCAGAUACUCGUUGGAUCUGUUUUACUUUUCCACCUUUACCAAAUUUGAUAGGUUGCUUUUUGAUUCUUUGAUAAUUUAACGUAUAGGAAGUUUUUUUUCUUAAAGAACUCUUUUGUGUAAAAUGAUCUUAUAUGAAACUUUGUUUCCAUAGCUUGUUUCAAUUAACAUUUCAUGAUUGUGUUGAAGAAAUCAAAGAGUGGUGCUGACAAAGAAUUUAAGGUGAUUGCUAGAUUUUAAUCAAUACUUUUUUAAGUGAUAGAUUAUCUAAGCUUCCUUGUUAUCAAUAAUGGAUUUUAUCAAUUUGAAGAUGGUACAUGUUAGGCUAUUGAUGUUCCGUCAUUCUUUUAAGAAAAAUAAGAAACUUAAGGAAGUUAGAACUGCCAUAACUACUAUUUUUAAAAUAGUAAAAUUUGUGGCGGUUUAAACUACUAUUAGUUACAACUAGAAAAUCGUCAUCUUACAUGUAGAGUAUAUUAUGGUGGAGCGUGUGGCGGUUAAUGUAAAACCGCCAUUAUUUAUUUAGCGGCAGCCAAAAAUGCGACAUUUUUUUGUAAACGCUUUUUCGUCAAUUGUGUUAGUUCAAAAACCGCCAUAACUUCACUUUUAUAGACACCAUAAUUUUCCUUUUUUUUAAGUGUAAAUACUAUCCUAAUGCAUCUUUUAUAAAAAAAAAGUUAAAAUAUCUCUCAAAAAACUAAUUAAAGCUUAGAGAAUUAAAGAGAUGGAAAAGAUAAUUCUUGUGCAUUUUUUUUGGAGUGUCAUCUCAUCUUUUAAUUCAAAUGUAUGCUAAAAUACCAAACUAAGCAUAUAAACAUACAUAAAAACAACAACUCCCUAUUAUCAUCUAUAACUUUUAUAACUUUUAAGAAUAUAUAACAAGAAUGUUAGUUUAAAUUUGUGCAAAGUUAUGGAUAUUUAGCUCUUUAAAAUGAUUCUUUAAUGAAUACUAAUAUAUGUUUAUUUUAUGUCACAUGCAAUUUUUAUGAUGAUUGUGGAAGAGGAAUAAAUUAUCAUCUUACAUAAUAUUAUUUUUAUUUUAAUUAUAGAAACUUAAUUUUAAAAUGCAAAAAUAAGUUAAACACGCAUUAGUCACUAUCACAAGAAAAACAAAACUUAUUUCAUAGAGUCGUAAACAACUACUAAAUAUUGAAUAACAUAGUAACGAAAUGAGAGUUCAGAAUAUUAUACCAAAAUUGUUGUAUAUUCUCUCGAGUGUGGUACUAAUAAAAUUCGAAAUAUAAACAUGGAUUAGGGUACUUCUUAUACUUAAUAAUAUAAUUUACUUUACUUAUAAAUAAUUUAAAUAGAAAAAUAAUUGUAACAUAAACAAACUUGAUAAUUUUAACAUAAACAAAUUUGAUAAUUUUAAUUGUAUUAUUCUCGUUUGGCAUAUAAUUUUAUCAUUUUAUAAUGUAUAAGAAUCUCAUCGUUUCUUUUUUUUAAUUGCCACUAAUGUUUUCCUAACAUAAUUAAAUGUUUUUCUGUCAAAUAACAAAGUGACAUAUCACGCGUUCAGAUUUAACAGAAUAAUUAAAUAGGUUUUAGUCCUUAUGGAGUUUUAAAAAUAAAUCUUUAUUAAAUGUAUCUUGAAUAUAUUCAAUUGUAAGAAUUCAUUCUAUUUUUAAACACACAUAUACACCAUCCCAAACUACACCUCGGUUUAAAAAGAGGCAUACAAUAAUAUUUGGGACAAUCAGAAUCUUCAACACAUUUAACAGCAGCUGUAAUGAAAAAAGAAAAUAAAGUAAUAUAACUAUAAUGUGAUAAAAUAUUGUGUCGGAGGUAAAUAAGAAAAUUAAAAUAAAUAAAUAAAUAAAAGUUACCGUUAACGAUCAUUGCAAGGAGAAAUUGAAAAAGAAAGAUAAUCAUAACACAGACAAAUUUAACAAUUUGAUCCAUAUUUUCCCCUUUUACAUAUAUAAAGUAGAAGAAUUUUACCACUUUAUAAUUUAUAAAGUUUAUGUACUGCUUACAUUAGUAAAAAUUAAUACUAAAUGUGUCUUAAGUACAUUAAAAUAUUGUGUUUGUCUCUUCCGCACACUUAAUUAGGAGAUCAAAUAAAUAAAUUAUCCAUUAUAAGAAUUCAUUCAUUUUUAAUAUUAAACAUAAUUUAAAAACUUUUCAUGAUUGAGAAAGAAAAAUAAAUAAAAAAUAUUAUAAUAAAAUAUAAAUUUUUUAACUAGUUUUUAUCUUGUUGGAUCGAGGUGAAAUAUAUUUCAAUAUACGCGCUUUGUUAAAUAGUAAAUAGUGUCUUCCUUUUUUUAAAUUAAAAAUAAAACAAUUUAUUCUCUCUAUUGGUAUAGAAAUGUAUUCUCUCUAUUUUUUAACUGUAAUUUUGUGUUUUUUUAAGUUAUUAUUUAUUCUCUCUGUAGUUGUAUGUCUCUAUUAUCCUAUUAUAUUGUUAAUUGUCUUAUUGCUUCCAUCUUUAUUUUUAUUUUGAUUCGCUGAGUCUCCUUCGCAUUUCUCGUGUUUAGCAUGCAUCUCUGUUAUCUGAUUAUUUUGUUACUUGUCUUAUCGCUUUCAUCUUUAUCACACUAAGGAUUUGAGCAAAGUUUAUGUUAUUGGAAGGUUCAAAAAAUGUAUUCAAGUAAAGAUUACGUAGAAGAGUUUGGCAAGUUUGUUGUAUACAAGUCAAGAUCCAAAUUAAGAUAUUUAUUUUCUGACUUGUAAUUGUGGAUUGGUGAUUGAAUGAACUCUUGAAAAUAUUUGUUAAAUAACAAGGACCUAUGCAUAUCCAAUGAGAAACCAUUGAAGAGUGCACGUAUGUCAAGCGGGGACGAACGUCGAAGCACUAUAAAUCUCAGUGUCAUCUCUCUAAUUCUACUCUUGCAUUUAUAUUCAUAAUGAUUACAUGCUAGGUUUUUCAAUCCAUUCGUAUUAUAUCGUUUUGUUCUUGAUAGCGAUUAAUUGCCUAGGAACGAAUUUUUAUAUGAUUUGAUUCGAAUCAAAUUUUAUACAUUAUUCAAAUCAAUUCUAAUUUUCAAAAAUCAUGUUUUAUUAUGUUUGAUUUGAUUCGAAUCAAACUUUCAACAUGAUAUGAAUCAAAUUGUUUUUCCUAAAAGUCAUGUCAACUUUGGGCUAUUUGAUUCGAAACACAUUUUAUUCUUGAUUCGAAUCAGAAAUCGUUUGAUUCGAGUCAUGUUUCCUCUUAUACGAAUCAACCGACAUAUUUUUCAAAAAUUAGGUAUUUCUUUCUUUUCACCUCAUUUUUCUCAUUUGACUAAAAUCAUACUUUUCUUGAUUCGAAUCUAACUAUCUUUUUUCAACCAUUUUGUGUGUUUCAUCUCUAGCACAUAUAAAUCAUUUUUUGUCAUCAUUCAAACAUAACAUCUGUCAUUCUGUUAAGAUUUUUCAGUGUGAUUUUGUGUGAAAAACAAUUUCCUCUAUUUUGAGUGUUCAAAGUCUUGCUAUGAAUUUCUCACAUCUUCAAUUUCAAUUGAGUUCAGAUCUUGAUAAUGAGAGUUUUAAGAUUGAUUGAAGGAGGCGCGUACUUGAACUAACCGUUCUUGGAGAUUUUGUUGAGUUUUAAGGUUGUUAGCAAGAUAGAGGGAUUGUCAAAGGUGGUGACAAAUUCUAUUGAAAAGAAGUAGGUUCUUCUCUCCAGCAUUUUCUCAGUAGUUAUUGUGCAGAAGGCUACAGAUAAGGCAAAUUUAUUUUCGGAUCUUCGGAAUCACCGCUCAAGGAAUCGGUAGUAUCAAGGGCUUGAUAGUUACACGCGAAGGGUUGGAGCAAAAUUUAUGUUAUUGGAAGGUUCAAGAAAUGUAUUCAAGUAAAGAUUACGUAGAAGAGUUUGGCAAGUUUGUUGUAUACAAGUCAAGAUCCAAAUUAGGAGAUUUAUUUUCUGACUUGUAAUUGUGGAUUGGUGAUUGUAUGAACUCUUGAAAAUAUUUGUUAAAUAACGAGGACCUAUGUAUAUCCAAUGAGAAAUCAUUGAAGAGUGCAUGUAUGUCAAGCGGGGACGAACGUCGAAGCACUAUAACUCUCAGUGUCAUCUCUCUAACUCUACUCUUGCAUUUAUAUUCAUAAUGAUUACAUGUUAGGUUUUUCAAUCCAUUCGUAUUAUAUCGUUUUGUUCUUGAUAGCGAUUAAUUACGUAAAGCUUAGGUUUUGUUCGAAUUGGACAACUAGUCAAGCUAGUAUUGAGAUUGAUAAAUCUGAAAACUGGUUAUUUAGGAUUCCACAUAUUAAAUCUAUUGUGCACUUCUUGUGACUACAUAACUUGAAUCAAUUCAUACCAA